UACGGAGGAUGCGAGUGUUAUCCGGAAUCACUGGGCGUAAAGCGUCUGUAGGUGGUUUAAAAAGUCCACUGUUAAAAAUUGAAGCUUAACUUCAAAAGAUGCCGUGGAAACUUUUAAACUUGAGUAUGGUAGGGGUAGAGGGAAUUUCCAGUGGAGCGGUGAAAUGCGUAGAGAUCGGAAAGAACACCAACGGCGAAAGCACUCUGCUGGGCCGACACUGACACUGAGAGACGAAAGCUAGGGGAGCGAAUGGG
rnacentral:rRNA from 1 species